UACAGAGGGUGCGAGCGUUGUUCGGAAUUAUUGGGCGUAAAGGGCGCGUAGGCGGUGCGGUAAGUCACCUGUGAAAUCUCCUGGCUCAACUGGGAGCUUGCAGGCGAAACUGCCGUGCUGGAGUGUGGGAGAGGUGCGUGGAAUUCCUGGUGUAGCGGUGAAAUGCGUAGAUAUCAGGAGGAACACCUGUGGCGAAAGCGGCGAACUGGAGCACAACUGACGCUGAGGCGCGAAAGCUAGGGGAGCAAACGGG
rnacentral:rRNA from 1 species